UCCCUUGUGGCUCAGACGGUAAAGCAUCUGCCUACAGUGCGGGAGACCCAGGUUCGAUCCCUGGGUCGGGAA
rnacentral:tRNA from 1 species